rnacentral:rRNA from 1 species
GACGAACGCUGGCGGCGUGCUUAACACAUGCAAGUCGAACGGAAAGGCCCUGCUUGCAGGGUACUCGAGUGGCGAACGGGUGAGUAACACGUGGGUGAUCUGCCCCGCACUUCGGGAUAAGCCUGGGAAACUGGGUCUAAUACCGGAUAGGAGCCAUUUUUAGUGUGAUGGUUGGAAAGUUUUUUCGGUGUAGGAUGAGCUCGCGGCCUAUCAGCUUGUUGGUGGGGUAAUGGCCUACCAAGGCGGCGACGGGUAGCCGGCCUGAGAGGGUGGACGGCCACAUUGGGACUGAGAUACGGCCCAGACUCCUACGGGAGGCAGCAGUGGGGAAUAUUGCACAAUGGGCGCAAGCCUGAUGCAGCGACGCCGCGUGGGGGAUGACGGCCUUCGGGUUGUAAACUCCUUUCGCUAGGGACGAAGCUUUUUGUGACGGUACCUAGAUAAGAAGCACCGGCUAACUACGU